CCCCCCUCUCCCCCAGGGAGCUAGCAAGGGGAUCUGUUGCUAGUUUUCACUCCCUCCUGCAGUAGCAUGAGGCCCAAUAAAGCCUUACUUGAACUUUCCAUCUGGCUCCUAUCCAAGAGUCCAAGGACAUGGGUUGGUAAAAGUUGCGCUUAAGGGAAGCUUCCACUUAGUGAAGACAAAAAAAAAUCCAUGAAACCACAGUGGAAGUGAUGUCUUUUUGAAUAGUAGAAAGCGGACAAAUUGAAAAAUACCCGCAAAGACGUAGAAAGUAUUAAGUGAUACACAAGAAACAGAUGCCGUGGAAAGAUAAAAGGUUUUGCAGACUUCUGUUGAUUUAUGGAAUCACGAGCGUAUGAUAUCUGAUCUCAUCCGAACGGGUUAUGCAGUACAUUCAAAGACCUGCCACCUUGCCAGUGGCUGGUCAUAGCACGUAAGUGGAAGGGUGGGUCCCCUGAGAGCAGAGCCCAAGCAAUUUUGCCAACCGGGGAGAGCUGGUUUAGGCUGAUGUCCCAGAGGCUGGAAUGCACUUGAAACAAAGAGUUGCAGCUGAAAAGCUUUCACGGUUUGAGGAAAAACGUGACAAAAUAAACCUGCAGUCUACAACUCGGGUCAAGAGUUUUCCUCCUGCCUUCUAAAAAUCGAAGCCAAGAAACAAAAACAAGUUUGGUAAAAGGGCGUGCAGUCUCUUUUCCCCCUUUGUCUUCUCAUUUUCAUUCUUCUCUUCUCAUUUUUUCCAGUGCAUACUCUCACUUCUUCUUUCUCAGUCUCGGGUGUUUUCCCUCCAACCCAUCGCCCCCUCCUCAUGCCCGCUUAUCUGGGCUCUGCUCUCCGCCCCUCCACCCGGGACGGCCCCAGGGCCCGCACCUGCCAGGGGAGCGCUCGACCCCGACCCUCCCGGGGUGCUGGCAGUGACGUAGAGGGGAGUCCGGUGGCCGCGCGGCCCGCCGACGUCACUGCCGCAGCGGUCCCCAACGAGCCCCAAGAAUGGGAAUUCAAGGAGGGAAACACGGCGGUGACCCCGCAGUCAGGGCUGAGCGCUGCGACUGGGCCGCGUGCUUGGGGUUUCCGAAGCGAAAAGGCCGGAAUCGCGCCUCUCGCGUAGGCGGAGCCCACCCCACACCCUCAGCGCGCGCCCCAACGCUAGAGUUUAGCGAUAAGGGGGAAUAUCCCCAUACGGUGGGGCCUCGUGCGCACGCGCCUUGGCCAGGGUGGUGGAGUGCUGCAGGACGAGGGCCGGUCCCCCAGCACGUCCUCAGCCGCCGAGGAGCCAUCAGCUUCAGCUCCAGCUCCGCGCUCUUCGGCUGCCCCAAUCCCCGGCAGCUCUCCCAGGUAAACGCCGCCGCCGGGGCCCCCACACUUGGGGGCUGCUCUUUUGUUUACCUCCUUCCACCUGGCUUCACCUCCGCGACCCCUACUCCCCAGUCCUCGCCGUUCACCCCCCCGACCAGCACUACCCGUUGUUUGGGGAUGUCUAGGCUGACCCCCCUCGAUUCGAGAGGCUUUUCUUUGAUCCUCGGGACUCAAACCUCAC
rnacentral:lncRNA from 1 species